rnacentral:rRNA from 1 species
GAUGAACGCUGGCGGCGUGCCUAAUACAUGCAAGUCGAGCGAAUGGAUUGAGAGCUUGCUCUUAUGAAGUUAGCGGCGGACGGGUGAGUAACACGUGGGUAACCUGCCCAUAAGACUGGGAUAACUCCGGGAAACCGGGGCUAAUACCGGAUAACAUUUUGAACCGCAUGGUUCGAAAUUGAAAGGCGGCUUCGGCUGUCACUUAUGGAUGGACCCGCGUCGCAUUAGCUAGUUGGUGAGGUAACGGCUCACCAAGGCAACGAUGCGUAGCCGACCUGAGAGGAGGAUCGGCCACACUGGGACUGAGCCACGGCCCAGACUCCUACGGGAGGCAGCAGUAGGGAAUCUUCCGCAAUGGACGAAAGUCUGACGGAGCAACGCCGCGUGAGUGAUGAAGGCUUUCGGGUCGUAGAACUCUGUUGUUAGGGAAGAACAAGUGCUAGUUGAAUAAGCUGGCACCUUGACGGUACCUAACCAGAAAGCCACGGCUAACUACGUGCCAGCCGCCGCAGUAA